rnacentral:rRNA from 1 species
GACGAACGCUGGCGGUGUGCUUAACACAUGCAAGUCGAACGGUAAGGCCCUUUCGGGGGUACACGAGUGGCGAACGGGCGAGUAACACGUGAGUAACCUGCCCUCAUCUCUGGGAUAACAGUCGGAAACGGUUGCUAAUACUGGAUAUGAGCUUGCAAGGCAUCUUGUGGGUUGGAAAGAUUUUUUUGGUUGGGGAUGGACUCGCGGCCUAUCAGCUUGUUGGUGAGGUAGUGGCUCACCAAGGCUUCGACGGGUAGCCGGCCUGAGAGGGCGACCGGCCACAUUGGGACUGAGAUACGGCCCAAACUCCUACGGGAGGCAGCAGUGGGGAAUAUUGCACAAUGGACGGAAGUCUGAUGCAGCAACGCCGCGUGCGGGAUGACGGCCUUCGGGUUGUAAACCGCUUUCAAUUGUGACGAAGCUUUUUGUGACGGUAGUAGUAGAAGAAGCACCGGCUAACUACGUG